rnacentral:rRNA from 1 species
UACGGGGGGGGGCAAGCGGUUGUUCGGAAUUAUUGGGCGUAAAGGGCGCGUAGGCGGCUUUUCAAGUGACGGGUUGAAAAUCCCUCGGCUUUAACCCGAGGAACUGCCUGUCAGACUGGAAGGCUUGAGACCGGGAGAGGUGAGUGGAAUUCCCAGUGUAGCGGUGAAAUGCGUAGAUAUUGGGAAGGAACACCAGUGGCGAAGGCGGGCUCACUGGACCGGAACUGACGCUGAGGCGCGAAACGUG